rnacentral:rRNA from 1 species
CCCACCCCCAUCCCCGGACGCACCAACAGCCCAUCUCGCCUUCUCCGUCAGGGAGGUGGAACGUGAGCGCACGCGAUAGGACCUGAAAGAUGGUGAACUAUGCCUGGGCAGGGCAACGUCAGAGGUCCUGACAUGCAAAUCAGUCGUCCGACCUGGGUAUAGGGUCUAUAUACUAAUACUAAUCAAACCAUCUAGUAGCUGGUUGCCUCCGAAGUUUCCCUCAGGAUAACUGGUGCUCAGAGUCUCGAAGUUUUAUCUGGUAAAGUGAAUGAUUAGAGGUCUUAGGGCCAAAAUGAUCUCAACCUAUUCUGAAACUUUAAAUGGGUAAAACGCCCGGCUUGCUGUCUUGGAGCCGGGUGUGGAAUGUGAGUCGCCUGGUGGGCCACAGAACUGGCGCUGCAGAAUGAACCGAACGCCAGGUCAAGGCGCCCGAUGCUGAUCUUCAACAGACCCCAGAAAAGGUGUUGGUUGAUAUAGACAGCUGGACGGCAGCCACAGAAGUCGGAACCCGCUAAGGAGUUUGUAACAACAAAUCAACUAGCCCUGAAAAUGGAUGGCGCUGGAACGUUGGGCCUAUACCCGGCCGUUGUUGGAAACGGUAGCCACAAGGGCUAUGCCGCGACAAGUAGGAGGGCCGCUGCGAUGCGCACAGAAGUCUAGGGCAUGGGCCUGCGUGGAGCCGCCACAGAUCUUGGUGGUAGUAGCAAACAAGACCUUGAAAGGCCAAAGUGGAGAAAUGUUCCAUGUGAACAGCAGUUGAACAUGGGUCAGUCGGUCUUAAGAGAUGAGUGAAUGCCAUUCGGAAGGGCGGGCCGAUGGCCUAUGUCAAACCCGGCCGAUCAGAAAAGAGUCGGGUUCAGAUCCCCGAAUCUGGAGAGGCGGACACCGGCGACGCGAGGCGUCCAGUGCGGUAACGCAAGCAAUCCCAGAGAAGCUGUCGAGAGCCAUGGGGAGAGUUCACUUUUUUUGUGAAGUGCAGGGCAUCCUGGAAUGGGUCAGUGACUCUGGACGCGCGCCGAGCCCUUCUCGCAGAUCUACCCAGUUAUGGCACCCGCCGGAAGGAGCCCCGUUGGCGAGGGCCUGCAUCAUUGGCGGGCCGAAGGCCCACGAGGGGUGUUGAAAUGAUGUGAUUUCUUCCCAGUGCUGGGAAUGUCAAAGUGAAGAAAUUCAAUGCAGCACGGGUAAACGGCGGCAGUAAGUAUAACUCUCUUCCAUCCAUCCAUUCAUCAUCUCCCACUUAUCCAGGGCCGGGUCGCGGGGGCAACAGUUUCAGCAAGGAUGCCCAUACUUCCUUCUCCCCAGACACCUCCUUCAGCUCCUCUGGGGGGAGCCCGAGGCGUUCCCAUAUGACUCUCUUAAGGUAGCCAAAUGCCUCAUCAUCUAAUUAUUGAUGCGCAUGAAAGGAUGAACGAGAUUCCCACUGCCCCUACCUACUAUCUAGGAAAACAACAGCAAAGGGAAUGGGCGUAGUAGAAUCAGCGGGGAAAGAAGCCCAUUGAGCUUGACUCUAAUCUGACACAUUGAAGAGACGUGAGAGGUGUAGAAUAAGUGGUAGGCCUCAGCCACUGGUGAAAUACCACAAAUCUUAUCAUUUUUUAGCCAGGGAGGCGAGGCCCGAGCGGGCUCUCGCUUCUGGCCUCAUGCGUCUGGCCCCUCAAAGGUAAGGUGCGACCUGCUCCAGGGCCAGUGGCAGGUGGGGAGUUUGACUGGGGCGGUACACCUGUCAAAUAGUAACGCAGGUGUCCUAAAGUGACCUCAGGGAUGACAGAAACCUGCCAUUGAGCAGAAGGGUAAAAGCUAGCUUGAUCUUGAUUUUCAGUAUGAAUACAGACCUUGAAAGUGGGGCCUCACGAUCUGUCUGACUUCUUGGUUUUUAAGCAGGUGUCAGAAAAGUUAUCACAGGGAUAACUGGCUUGUGGCAGCCAAGUGUUCAUAGCAACGUCGCUUUUUGAUCCUUCAAUGUCGGCUCUUCCUAUCAUUGUGAAGCAGAAUUUACCAAGUGUUGGAUUGUUCACCCACUAAAAGGGAACGUGAGCUGGGUUUAGACCAUCGCGAGACAGGGUUAGUUUUACCCAACUGAUGAUGUGUUGUUGCAAUAGUAACCCUGCUCAGUACGAGAGGAACCUCAGGUUUAGACAUUUGGUGUAGGUGCUUGGCUGAGGAGCCAAUGGUGCGGAGCUACCAUCUGUGUGAUUAUGACUGAAAACCUCAAGCCCACCUAGAAUCCCACCUAGACGUAAUGAUCCCAUAACACUGUGGAACUUCGAAUGGCACUGGAUAGCCAGCAGGCUCCGGCCCGCCGGCGAGCAAAGCCGUUUGUGACAGGCCUGAGGUGCAGCCGGACAUUGGCCGCCUCUCUCCUUACUCGCACCGUACGUUUGCGGAGAACCUGGAGCUAAAUCACUCCAGAUGUCCAGAUUCUGGGUCACGGUUUUGUAUGUAGCAGAGUAGCUCCCUCGUUGCGAUCUAUUGAAAGUCAGCCCUUGAACCAAGCUUUUGUCAGCAAGCGCAGGCC